UUGCUUUAGGACAAGGCAGCACAUCAAUUAAAAUUGAGAAGAUACAGAUAUUAGCAAGGCCCCUGCACAAGGACAACAUGAAAAUCUGUAAAGCUUCCCAUAUAUUU
rnacentral:snRNA from 1 species